UUAAGUGAAAAAAUCAAAUCAAGAGCAACAAACAAAGGCUAUAAAUACUGGGAAAUAUUUAGAAUAAGAUCAAAUUAAAAUUCUUUUCAUGGGAGUUUUUGAAUUUAUUCAACAAAAAUGGUAACCAAGAAAAUAAUAUUACUAUUAUUUUUGGCCUUCUACUUUUCAUGUGGAUUUUAUCAAGCCAAUGUAUUUGAACAACUUAACAACAAUCAUAAUAUUGAUGGAGAUACAAUCAUAACAAGUAACAAGAACAAAUAUGGCCAUGGUGCAGAGUCUCAUGUUGUUGGUGCUAGAGGAAGUGGAGGCGAAGUAAAUGGCGAUGGCUAUCGAUCUCCGGGAUCGUCGAAUUUCAUACCAAUUUAUGCUGCAAAUGCUCAUAACAAUCACCAUCGUGGUGGUGCAAGCAACCACAAGAGCCACAAUGUAUAUCUAGCCUUAUUCACUAUAAUGUUCUUCGUGUACCUUUGUAUUUAAACAGUACCAGUGUUUUAAAAGGCAGGGGCGUGAGAUGCUAUGAUGCUCAUAUUGUGCCUAUGUCUUGAUCUACUUAGGUUAAAAUUGUGUUUUGGUUGUUGUAAAUGAAAAAAAGUUGAAAAACAUGUUGACAUAUAUAUGUGUAGUGUUUGUUGUUGUUUUUGGUUAGAUUUUGAAUAAUUAGGGUAGAGAUGCAUUAUUAGGAUGUGUAUUAUGUCUUUCCUCUUUUUUUCUACUAAACUUUUCUUUGUAUAAGAUGUUUGAUUUGAUUUGAUAUUCAUAAGUUUAUUAUCUCA